GUUCCUUCAGUUCUCACUCAUUCACAGUAAAGAUGACAGCACACGCUCUCAUUAUCUGCUCUCUACUGCUUUUCAUUGCUGAGUGUAAUGGACAGAUCACGGUCACUCAGAGUCCCUCAAUAACAGCUCAACCAGGACAACAAGUUCAAAUAAACUGUAAAACCAGCAGUGAUGUCUACCGGGACGGUAAUGGACACUACUUGAGCUGGUACUUACAGAAACCUGAAGAAGCUCCUAAACUCCUCAUAUAUUUGGCAAGCACCCUCCAGACUGGAACUCCAUCUAGAUUCAGUGGCAGUGGAUCUAAUAGUGAUUUCACUCUGACCAUCAGUGGAGUCCAGACUGAAGAUGCAGGACAUUAUUACUGUCAGAGUUUUCACUGGCCUGGAAGCAUUCGAUGGUUCACACAGUGAUAAAGAGUCGUACAAAAACCUCCUUCAGUGAAAGAGGAACUACUGAUACAGAAACAGUUUCUCUGAAUGUUUCAUUAUAAAUUGACAUGGACACAAAGUUUUAGAUUUUGAUAUUUCACACUCAACACUACAUAUGAAACUGGACGACACAUUUUAUUAUAAAGGUCAAUUCAGUCAUUUUUGGUUGAUGUUUUACUGGCUGAUAUGACACUAGUCUUAAACUUUACUGACACCUAUCCAUGUGAAUACAGCAUC